UACGGAGGGAGCUAGCGUUGUUCGGAAUUACUGGGCGUAAAGCGCGCGUAGGCGGCUUUGUAAGUUAGAGGUGAAAGCCCGGGGCUCAACCCCGGAACUGCCUUUAAAACUGCAUCGCUUGAAUCCGGGAGAGGUGAGUGGAAUUCCGAGUGUAGAGGUGAAAUUCGUAGAUAUUCGGAGGAACACCAGUGGCGAAGGCGGCUCACUGGUCCAUUACUGACGCUGAGGUGCGAAAGCGUGGGGAGCAAACAGG
rnacentral:rRNA from 1 species